rnacentral:rRNA from 1 species
AAAAGCAGGGGAUCGCAAGACCUUGCGCUCUUGGAGCGGCCGAUGUCUGAUUAGCUAGUUGGUGAGGUAAAGGCUUACCAAGGCGACGAUCAGUAGCUGGUCUGAGAGGACGACCAGCCACACUAGGACUGAGACACGGCCCAGACUCCUACGGGAGGCAGCAGUGGGGAAUUUUGGACAAUGGGGGAAACCCUGAUCCAGCCAUGCCGCGUGAGUGAAGAAGGCCUUCGGGUUGUAAAGCUCUUUCAGCCGGAACGAAACGGUCACGGUUAAUACCCGUGACUACUGACGGUACCGGAAGAAGAAG